AUUGAACGCUGGCGGCAGGCCUAACACAUGCAAGUCGAACGAGUGGCGGACGGGUGAGUAAUGUCUGGGAAACUGCCUGAUGGAGGGGGAUAACUACUGGAAACGGUAGCUAAUACCGCAUACCAUCGGAUGUGCCCAGAUGGGAUGAGCUAGUAGGUGGGGUAACGGCUCACCUAGGCGACGAUCCCUCGUGGGUCUGAGAGGUUGACCAGCCACACUGGAACGGAGACACGGUCCAGACUCCUACGGGAGGCAGCAGUGGGGAAUAUUGGACAAGGGGCGAAAGCCGGAUGCAGCCAUGCCGCGUGUAGGAAGAAGGCCUUCGGGUUGUAAAGUACUUUCAGCGGGGAGGCGUUACCCGCAGAAGAAGCACCGGCUAACUCCGUGCCAGCAGCCGCGGUAAUUC
rnacentral:rRNA from 1 species